rnacentral:misc_RNA from 1 species
AGCAGCCGCGGUAAUUCCAGUUCCAAUAGCGUAUAUUAAAGUUGUUGCAGUUAAAAAGCUCGUAGUUGAAUUUCGGGAUUGACGUGAUGGUCGUGCCUUACGGGGUAUGAACUGUUGCAGUCAAUUUCUCACCUUCUGGAGAAAUAUGAUGUCCUUAAUUGGGUGUCAUAUGGAACCAGAACUUUUACCUUGGAAAAAUUAGAGUGUUUAAAGCAGGCUUAUUGCUCGAAUACAUUAGCAUGGAAUAAUAAAAUAGGACGGCAUGGUUCUAUUUUGUUGGUUUCUAGGAUCACCGUAAUGAUUAAUAGGGAUAGUUGGGGGCAUUAGUAUUCAAUUGUCAGAGGUGAAAUUCUUGGAUUUAUUGAAGACUAACUACUGCGAAAGCAUUUGCCAAGGAUGUUUUCAUUAAUCAAGAACGAAAGUUAGGGGAUCGAAGACGAUCAGAUACCGUCGUAGUCUUAACCAUAAACUAUGCCGACUAGGAAUCAGACGAUGUUAAUUUUUUAAUGACUCGUUUGGU